rnacentral:SRP_RNA from 2 species
GCCGGGCAUGGUGGCGGGUGCCUGUAAUCCCAGCUACUCGGGAGGCUGAGGCAGGAGAAUCACUUGAACCCAGGAGGCAGAGAUUGCAGUGAGCCAAGCGCUACUGCACUCUAGCCUGGGCGACAGAGUGAGACUCCGUCUCAA